AUUGAACGCUGGCGGCAUGCCUUACACAUGCCAGUCGAACGGUAACGAGCCUUCGGGUGCCGACGAGUGGCGCACGGGUGAGUAAUACAUCGGAACGUGCCCGAUCGUGGGGGAUAACGAGGCGAAAGCUUUGCUAAUACCGCAUACGAUCUACGGAUGAAAGCAGGGGACCGCAAGGCCUUGCGCGGACGGAGCGGCCGAUGGCAGAUUAGGUAGUUGGUGGGAUAAAAGCUUACCAAGCCGACGAUCUGUAGCUGGUCUGAGAGGAUGAUCAGCCACACUGGGACUGAGACACGGCCCAGACUCCUACGGGAGGCAGCAGUGGGGAAUUUUGGACAAUGGGCGCAAGCCUGAUCCAGCCAUGCCGCGUGCAGGAUGAAGGCCUUCGGGUUGUAAACUGCUUUUGUACGGAACGAAAAGCCUUCUUUUAAUACAGGAGGGUCAUGACGGUACCGUAAGAAUAAGCACCGGCUAACUACGUG
rnacentral:rRNA from 1 species